rnacentral:rRNA from 1 species
CACGUAGGGUGCGAGCGUUGUCCGGAAUUAUUGGGCGUAAAGGGCGCGUAGGCGGCGAUUCAAGUGGCGGGUGAAAUCCCUCGGCUUAACCGAGGAACUGCCUGCCAGACUGGAUUGCUUGAGUCCGGGAGAGGUGAGUGGAAUUCCCAGUGUAGCGGUGAAAUGCGUAGAUAUUGGGAGGAACACCAGUGGCGAAGGCGGCUCACUGGACCGGAACUGACGCUGAGGCGCGAAAAGCGUGGGGAGCAAACAGG